AGAGUUUGAUCCUGGCUCAGGAUGAACGCUAGCGGCAGGCUUAAUACAUGCAAGUCGAGGGGUAACAUGGUAGCAAUACUGAUGACGACCGGCAAACGGGUGCGGAACACGUACAGAACCUUCCUUUAAGCGGGGGAUAGCCCAUAGAAAUGUGGAUUAAUACCCCAUAGUAUUGUUGGUUGGCAUCAAUUGACAAUUAAAGAUUUAUCACUUAAAGAUGGCUGUGCGGCUGAUUAGGUAGUUGGUUGGGGUAAUGGCCCACCAAGCCAGCGAUCAGUAACUGGUGUGAGAGCACGACCAGUCACACGGGCACUGAGACACGGGCCCGACUCCUACGGGAGGCAGCAGUAAGGAAUAUUGGUCAAUGGACGCAAGUCUGAACCAGCCAUGCCGCGUGAAGGAUGAAUGCCCUCUGGGUUGUAAACUUCUUUUAUCUGGGACGAAACAUUCUGAUUCUUCAGAACUUGACGGUACCAGAGGAAUAAGCACCGGCUAACUCCGUGCCAGCAGCCGCGGUAAUACGGAGGGUGCAAGCGUUAUCCGGAUUCACUGGGUUUAAAGGGUGCGUAGGUGGGUUGGUAAGUCAGUGGUGAAAUCUCCGUGCUUAACAUGGAAACUGCCAUUGAUACUACUGGUCUUGAAUUUUCUGGAGGUAAGCGGAAUAUGUCAUGUAGCGGUGAAAUGCUUAGAUAUGACAUAGAACACCAAUUGCGAAGGCAGCUUGCUACAGGGAUAUUGACACUGAGGCACGAAAGCGUGGGGAUCAAACAGGAUUAGAUACCCUGGUAGUCCACGCCCUAAACGAUGGAUACUCGACAUUUGUGAUACACAAUAAGUGUCUGAGCGAAAGCAUUAAGUAUCCCACCUGGGAAGUACGACCGCAAGGUUGAACUCAAGGAUUGGCGGGGUCGCACAGCGUGAGCAU
rnacentral:rRNA from 1 species